rnacentral:lncRNA from 1 species
CUCUUGCCUGCUGCCAUGUAAGAUAUGACAGUGCUCCUCCUUCACCUUCUGUCAUGAUUGUGAGUCCUCCACAGCCAUGUGGAACUGAAAGCUGUUUUUCCCUCUUUGGGGUCUCAGAGAGAUUGGUGGCAAGGACUCCUGGGAAGAGAAAAGCUGAAGGACACUCUGGCAAGAGGCCAAGGUGAAAGCCUCGUGGGAAUUUCACACAUUUUAUAGAAGCAGAGGAGUGCUAUUUGAGCAAGGGGUAGAUAACACCUACACUCCACUCAGGAUUUCCAAGCAUAGCCUGAGGCAGAAGUACUCAUACUUCACUACAGAAUCACCUGGGGAGUUUUAACCUUCUGAUUCUAGUGUUCCCCUCCGGCAGAUGGAGACAGAAACAACUUGAGUGGGCUCAGGAAUCUGUGUUUUUAAAAUUCUCCAGAAGAUUUUAAUGCAAUACAAGUAAGAAGACAGGACUACAAUUCACAAGAACAGUAUAUCCUGGGGAUUCCUCAGAACAGAACACACUCAAAAAAAAAAAAAAGAAGACGACAAAAACAAAGAUAACAUGAAACCAGAUUCCACAACCAUGUUUCAAGUGACCUAUGUGAGUCAGGCCCAUGAGACACACACUAUACCAGUUUCAGUGACACCUCACAAAAUUUAGGGGGGUGGAAGAGAGGGUCCUAUGCCCAUUUCAUAGAUGAACAAACUAAGGACUUAAUAGAUUUCAAAAAUUUGUUCAAAGUCUCUACCUUAAAGGAUUUUGGGGUUCUGGUUUUUGUUUUUACCUGCCCUGGUAACUCUUCUAAGAAUGAGCCAAGAAGAAGACAACCUUCUGAGAUACUUUUCCUGCCCUCCAAGGGCUAUGGAGAACGUGAUAGGGUUGGAGCUGCCCUCU